CGGUGUGCCUCAUACAUGCAAGUCGAACGAGAAGUACCUUCGGGUAAUGGAAAGUGGCGGACGGGUGAGUACAACAUAGGAAAUCUGCCCUAAAGCGGGGGACAACAGAGGGAAACUCCUGCUAAUACCCCAUAUGAGCUUAGUUGAAAUACUAAUCUUGAAAGAUUUAUCACUUUAGGAUGAGCCUGUGCCUGAUUAGCUGGUUGGUGGUGUAAUGGACUACCAAGGCGACGAUCAGUAGCUGGUUUGAGAGGAUGAUCAGCCACAAUGGGACUGAGACACGGCCCAUACUCCUACGGGAGGCAGCAGUAGGGAAUUUUGCGCAAUGGGGGAAACCCUGAACCGCAGCAACACCGCGUGAAUGUUAAGCCCUUCGGGGUGUAAAGUUCUGUCAAUAGGGAAGAAUAAAUGACUGUACCUAUAAAGGAAGCACCGGCUAACUCCGUGCCAGCCGCUGC
rnacentral:rRNA from 1 species